CGGCUAUGCUGAGCUCAAGCACGACCGUGGUUGACUCACCAGCGCGCCGCACUUUAAACCGCCUGCACUAGGCAGGCUGCGAGGACACCGGAGCGUAAAAAUGAACACACGCGGCGGAGGUCGUACUGGCCAUUAUACCGGCCCCACGUGUGUCCAACACUCCGCGCCUCACUGCGCUCACCCGCUAGACGGCCCCGCAUUCCCGCGACAGCGCCCUGAACACGCCAACGAAAUGUGUAAAACCUUCAGGAGAAGAAUCUGUUAAAGAAGUGGCCACACUAACUUCAAAAACUUCUUCCGACAACUUCUGAGGAACUACCAGAUGUUGCCAUGCCAGCUGAUAGAGGUAGUUUAUCCAUAAUGUCCCAGGGGGCUAUGCCUUGUGCAUUUUUCAAGAAAGCAUCCUAACUACAUUCUCAAACUGUUUACUUCAUCUGACUCCUCUUAAUCUGGAAAAGUAAGGUUUCUACUCUGCAGUCCUUAUGUUGUUGAGUCCCUUACCCUAUCAUCACAUUUUGCAGCUUGGAUUCUCGGGACUAUUUCUUGUUCACUAUCUACAGUAGAAUUUCUGAUUGAAAAUGAGGAUGGGGAUAUUAUCACCUUAAUUCUUCAUACAGCAGUGGCCCACCCAGACAGUAAGGGAGAGAAAUAUGUGUGAAUGCUAUUUAUGGAUUAUAACCUAGCAUUUAACACAAAUAAUUACCUCCAAGCUCAUUACCAAGCUUAGGGACCUGGGGCUGAGCAUUUCAUUGUGCAGCUGGAUUUUUAACUUCCUGACAAGCAGUCCCCAGGUUGUUCGAGUGGGUGGCCACACCUCAUCAUCUCUCACUCUCAACACAGGCGCUCCACAGGGCUGUAUCCUGUUGUCCAGUGCUGUACUCCCUCUACACAUAUGACUGCACAGCUCUACAUGACACUAACAUGAUUGUCAAGUUUGCUGAUUACACAGCUGUAGUUGGUCUGAUAUCUAACAACAAUGAGCAUGCUUACCUGAAUGAAGGGGAGAAUCUGUUACACUCAUGUUAGGCCAGCAGUCUUCUCCUGAAUUUCAGCAAGACAAAAGAGUUGAUUGUGGACUUUGGGAAGAAACAGCAGAGGCACCACCAUCUCCUCAUAUUUAAUAUCACUCAGGCACAGAGGGUGAGCAGAUUUAGACACCUCAGUGUCCAGAUCAUAGAGUAUUUUACCUGGUCCAAGCACAUUAACACCUUGCUGAAGAAAGCAUGACAAAGCCAGCACCCACCUCAAAUGCUACAGAGAUUUCAGGCUGCCCUACCAGAUACUAAAGAAGUUCUAUACAUUUACCAUUGAAAGCAUUCUGACAGAAAGUAUCACUGGCUGGUAUGGGAACAGCACACCACAGGACCUCAAGGCUCCUUAGAUUGUGAUGCAGUCAGUAGCACACAGUGUUCACUCACUAACAUCCAGGACAUCUACACUAAGCAAUGUCGAACCUCUGCAAGGAAAAUUAUCCAUGACACCAGUCAUCCCAAAAAUGGCUUCUUUCCUGUGCUGCGGUCAGAUAACACUGCAGAUAACACUGCCGUUGUCUAGAGUCCAGUUCAGAGACACAGAAGGGGAGCGUCUUCCCACAGUCCAGUCCAUCUACAUCUUGAAUAAGGAAAGUAUCUAGAAAUACA